rnacentral:tRNA from 1 species
GUGGUUGGUUAAAGCACCUGUCUUGAAAACAGGAGAUCCUGAGUUCGACUCUCAGC